GUUGCUCGGCCUCUUUCGCUCUUGCUAGUUUCCGCGAACUUUAGGCUAGCGGUAUGUAAGUUUUUAGCUUGCUCUUUAGAGUUCCACUCGGAAAGGUAAUAGUCUUCUUCAGUCACUUUCUUGGAGGAAGGUCCACAAAACAUACCUCCCCAUUGUGGAAAGUAAAUAAAACAUAUUGGUAAAGAACACGCAAUUGACAUAAUCCCCAUCAGUGUUAUACCCGUCUCUCUCGAGUAUGUUGAUCCUUUGAAGAAUAUCAAUUGAGUUAAAACCGCACCUACAUUACCUCCCGCACCUGUCAUUCCUGAU
rnacentral:lncRNA from 1 species